AGCGCAAGGAGCUGCUGCCUCGCACAGGAGCAAGUUACCGCGUUCAGCUAAUCUGCAGUAACUUGCUCCUGUGAGGGGUAGCGGCUCCUGGCU
rfam:Cathartes aura contig43529, whole genome shotgun sequence.